UACGUAGGGACCAAGCGUUGUUCGGAUUUACUGGGCGUAAAGGGCGCGUAGGCGGCGUGGUAAGUCACUUGUGAAAUCUCUGAGCUUAACUCAGAACGGUCAAGUGAUACUGCUGUGCUAGAGUGCAGAAGGGGCAAUCGGAAUUCUUGGUGUAGCGGUGAAAUGCGUAGAUAUCAAGAGGAACACCUGAGGUGAAGACGGGUUGCUGGGCUGACACUGACGCUGAGGAGCGAAAGCGUGGGGAGCGAACAGG
rnacentral:rRNA from 1 species